rnacentral:rRNA from 1 species
GGGGGCGAGUAGAGUGGCGCACGGGUGAGUAACACGUAGGUAAUUUGCCUUCGGGUGGGGAAUAACAGCCGGAAACGGCUGCUAAUACCGCAUAAUGCAGCGGCUCGACAUCGAGACAGUUGUUAAAGCGGGGGAUUCGCAAGAACCUCGCGCCUGAAGAGAAGCCUGCGGCAGAUUAGCUAGUUGGUAGGGUAAUGGCCUACCAAGGCAACGAUCUGUAGCCGGCCUGAGAGGGCGGUCGGCCACACUGACACUGACAUACGGGUCAGACUCCUACGGGAGGCAGCAGUCGGGAAUUUUGGGCAAUGGGCGAAAGCCUGACCCAGCAACGCCGCGUGAAGGAUGAAAUCCCUCGGGAUGUAAACUUCGCAAGAAUGGGAAGAAUAAGUAGAAGAUAAUACCUUCUAUGAUGACGGUACCAUUUGUAAGCUCCGGCUAACUCCGUGCCAGCAGCCGCGGUAAUACGGGGGGAGCAAGCGUUGUUCGGAUUUACUGGGCGUAAAGGGCGCGUAGGCGGCCACGACAAGUCAGUUGUGAAAUCUCUGGGCUUAACUCAGAACGGUCAACUGAUACUGUCGGGCUAGAGUGCAGAAGGGGCAACUGGAAUUCUCGGUGUAGCGGUGAAAUGCGUAGAUAUCGAGAGGAACACCUGCGGCGAAGGCGGGUUGCUGGGCUGACACUGACGCUGAGGCGCGAAAGCUAGGGGAGCGAACGGGAUUAGAUACCCCGGUAGUCCUAGCC